GCCCGCCUGGCUAAGUGGUAUAGCGUCUCACUAGUAUACUACUUAUUAAUCCCAAGCAAGCUAUGAGAAGAUCACAGGUUCGAUUCCUGUGGUGGGCA